rfam:Escherichia hermannii NBRC 105704 DNA, contig: EH10570408.
AGUUAAACGCGUAGGGUACAGAGGUAAGAUGUUCUAUCUUUCAGACCUUUUACUUCACGUAAUCGGAUUUGGCUGAAUAUUUAGCCGCCCCAGUCAUCUAAUGACUGGGGCGUUUUUUA